ACUCUACCUCUUCUUUCUUCUCUUUAUCUCCACAACUCGAUUUCAAACAUCUCUUUCGUCUGUAAAAUGGAGCAGAUUAUUCUUGUAUGUGGGAAAUGGAUCUAUGAAAGAAGGUGGUCUAACAAGGCAUAAACUUGAUGAAGUAGUCUUUGUUGUAAACUUUUGUUGUAUUUUCCAAACUUGUAUGACUGUUGUUGUGGAACAUGUAAGAUGUUUGUAUUGACAUGUCAAACUUGUAUGUGUUAUUGUGGAACAUGUGUGUUGUUAUAGAAUUUGUAUGUGGUAUAAUAAAAGUCUGUGGUUACAAUAACACUCAGAAAAAAUAACUGGUUCACACCAAAAAGUCGGUGGUAACAUCUGGUUCACACCAAAAAAGUCGGUGGUAAAAUCUGCAACAACUGGUUCACACCAAGUUUUCAAAGCUACUCAAAUAACAACCAUGGUUCAUGCUCUUCUUUUGUAUCAGAGAUUUCCCUUCUUCAUAUUGUCGAGGGCAGACGCCAUUCGUUUUUACAUAACACAAAAACAUAUGUUUAGUUACUCAACAAUUAAGUCUGCAAUUAAAAAAAAUAGACACAGCUGCAAGCUUCUAACAAAUCUGUGGGGACUCUGUUAGUUAAAAAAACUGUGGUAAACAUACUCUGUUAGUAAACAAAUAUGUGCGAACUUUCAAACAAAUCUGCCAUAACGAACUAAAAAAUUAGUAACCAACAAACUAAAAUCUGAAAUCAAAUCAUCAUAAUUAAAUCAGCAAGCAAGCACAAGAAACAAAUCUGCGGGAGCUCUAUGACUUUAAGUUAACAAAUCGAGUAUACACCCAGCCAACAGAGGAAAAACCUAGAAAAGUAGAGACAACCGAGGAAAAACCCACAACCGUAGAAGCAGCACCACCGAAGACGACUGUGUUAGAAGCAGCGUAGCCGGAAAACGACUAUGUGAGGAGCAGCGGCAUGGAGAAGCAACAACGUCGCCGGAGAAGCAGCGGCAUGGAGAAGCAACAACGUCGCCGGAGAAGCAGCAACGUCGUCGCCGGAGAAACAUCAGCGUCGGAAAAGAAGAUUCGCCGGGAGAGAGUUUAGAGAGAGAAGAGAGAGUUUGAGAUUUGAGAGAAAUUUGUUUUUGGUUUGAAUGUGAAAAGUUUGAGAGUCGGG
rnacentral:lncRNA from 1 species